rnacentral:misc_RNA from 1 species
AUUCGCUUUCCCCGAGGUUCACGGCAGUUGGGAGCCAAUAGCAUCGCGAUAGACAAUCCCGCACGGGCAAGCUAACAGCUCACCUCUCGCUCCUCUCGUCGUCACAUGACCCUUUUCACUGUGUAGGCCAUAUUUGACAGUGUCCAGUACUAGUUUAGUGAAGUGAGUGUGUGAAGAUUGUUCCUCUUCACUUAACCCCUGGUGUUUUUUGAUAUAACCUGUAAAUACUCUAACAACUAAACUCGCCAAGAUGAGUACUGUCGAAAUCGGAGAAACAAAUCCCAUCUACGGGCCAUUCUUUGGAGUAAUGGGCGCCGCCUCGGCGAUCGUCUUUUCCGCCCUCGGAGCGGCCUAUGGAACCGCAAAGUCCGGUACCGGUAUCGCAGCCAUGUCCGUGAUGAGGCCUGAGCUGAUCAUGAAGUCCAUCAUUCCCGUCGUCAUGGCGGGUAUUAUAGCCAUUUAUGGUCUGGUGGUGGCGAUUCUUAUCGCGGGGUCGGUCGACUCGCCGACGAACAAUUACACCCUUUACAAGGGAUUCCUUCACCUCGGAGCUGGUCUCGCGGUAGGAUUUUCGGGUCUGGCCGCAGGUUUCGCAAUCGGCAUAGUGGGUGACGCAGGUGUGAGAGGUACCGCUCAACAACCGCGUCUUUUCGUCGGUAUGAUCUUGAUCCUUAUUUUCGCCGAAGUAUUGGGUCUCUACGGUUUGAUCGUCGCCAUCUUCCUCUACACCAAGGUGUGAAGCGGUAAUAAUACCGGGACUGAUUCACGCGGGAAUAUUCAUCUCCCCCCUAGAUAUAAAAUUACAUAUAAAUACCAUCAACAAGAACGAGAAGAACAACUACAACUACAACAACGAGAAUAAAAAAAAUAUACAUAUAUAUGUAUGUGUAUAUAUAUAUAUGUAUGUAUAUAUAUGUAACAGACGCAGACAAGCGAGCAACACUUCUCUUCACUUCGCAUAGUAAUCACACUAAUAACGACAUCUCUAUUAUCCGCAUAAAUUGGAAAACAAAAAUUUCAUUUAUUAAUCAAUAAAUUCGCGAAAAUUCGAUCGCGCGAUGCAAGGGUAGUAGAUCGUUUUCUCUCUUUCUCUCUCUUACUCCCAUCACCGCAUCAUGUGCCUACCCAUAUGUACAAUCCUUGCAUGAAGUAGCUAACGAUCUUAAGGGAAAGCGAUAAAUGAAAACCUGAAUUACUCUGGUUUUUUUUUUUUUUCUUUGACGCUUUGAUAUGUGGAAAGAAUGAGGGGAUGGAGAAGAGUAGGGAGAUAAUAUAAGAAGAUGAAACAGAAAUGAUCAAAUAAAUGAAGAACACUCGUCGCACACCUGCAAAGUCAGUUUUCUGUAUAAUAUAAAUAAAUAUACACACACAAACAUAUAUAUAUAUAUGUAUAUGUAUAUGUUGUAUAUGUAUUGAUACCCAGGGGGAGGAAUAUUUCCGACAAGGAAAAAGAAAAACCGGCGACAAAAACUGUCUGUAAUAAAUGAUAUACGGUUGUCGUCGCGUCAUAUCAUGUAAAUCGUUAUCAUCCGUCAUUUUCGUCAUCGUUACAAAUCGUCACCUUCGUCGCCGAUGUGUCACCGCUACAAGAGGAAGGAAAAGAAAAAAGAGGAGGAAAAAUUGUUUAGACAAAGAUCGAUAAAUAAUAUUCAAACAAACGAACAGCAAAUUAUAUUAGCCAUUAACGAUACUACUAUGGGUACAGUAACAUAGGGCUGCUACUGCCAUGUGCUAAAAUAAUAAUAUACAACGUAGUAUAACCGCACUGUCGUCGUCAUAUACCUAUAUACGGGAGAUCAGAGAUGAACGUGUUGAAAUUAAAUCAGGAAAUAAAAAAUGAAAUUCGAUCAAACUUACGAACGAUAUGCGAAUUUUCUCUUCAGUUCUGUCCGCGACGAAACGGCCUACUUUUUUUCCUUUUUUUUUUUUUUUUCUUUUUUUAAUACAUUCAGCCAAUUUCGUCCCUCAGUAAUACCAGCUGACAUUUUGAUGCACUUUAUUAGAUUUUAUUUUUAUUUUUCUCUUUUCAUCAUCUCAAUCCUCCCACCCCAGCUGCAACACAUAAGUAUAGGUAAAUUGUCGAUAUCACGCAGAGGGACAUUAAAAUCUGUGCACGUUUAAUGAAAUCGCGAGACGCGAAUACACAGGAACACACAAAAGAUAAUACAUUAUGUGUGUAUGAUAGUGCAUGUAUAGAAUAUUAUAAUUAACGUCGGCAGCGUAUAUAAUCCACGUUUAAUCGGUGUGUACAACUGGCGGUGAAGGGGCGAAGGGAAAGGGUUCGGAGGAGGGAUUAAAAAGGUAAUGGAAGACGUUGAGAAGGGAGAAAGAAGUCGCUUGUUAUUCCAAAGGAAAACCCGAAAGUUCCUCUUGCGCGCACCUUUCUCUAUAUUAUUUAUCAUUUGUAUAGCUGAAAAGAAACACACGUACAUAUAAUAUGCGAGAUAUCAUUUUAGCGAGUACACAUAUAAUUAUACAUACAUACAUACACGUGCAUAAAUUACAUAACAUAACGUACACGCAUAUACAUAUGGUACACAUAGUAUCUAUAGAACUAUAUAUUAUAGUUUGAAAAGAAAAAAAGAAGACAUCAGCUAGUUAAAAUUAAUAACUUCAUUGGUUUUUAAAUCGUUGUGUGUUGUAUAUGAAGAGGGCGGAAAAAGAAAGAGAAUAGGAAUAAAAAAGAAAAUGAUUGUAUUAAUACGAUAUACAUAUGUAUAAUUAUGACUAUAUACACAUAUAUUAAGCACAAUUAUUAUAUUUCUCAGAAGGGCAAACGAGACGUCAGCAUCGAGUUUGUCUUUGUUAUAACUUUUCGUUUUCUUUUUUUUUUUUCCUUUCUUUUUCAUUUCGCUUUAAGGUAUAGAACCAAACGGUAUACGAAUCGUUUUUAGCCAAAAUCCGCUCUACAGUAGAGAGAGAAAGAGGAGAAAUAAAAUAAAAAAUGACUCAUUCGUUGCUCUGUUUUCCUUUAUCUUUCUUGCUCGCGGAAAAAAAAUGUCAAUGUCAAGUCUUUGCUGGAUUCGACUACUGCAUAAAUUUACAAUCUUAUACCAAAAAAAAAAAAAAAAAAAGAAAAUAUAUAUAUAUAUAUAUUUAAAUGGAAAAAGCAUUGGAAAAAAAUAAGAUCCAGAAAACAAAAUCAUCAAGUACGCGAUAGUAUUACACCGAGAUGACGUUGAUACGUGCAUAUUUAUAGAUAUCGGUCUGUAGUAACAUCUGCAGUUUAAAUUGUUCGUUCGUGAGGCAGGAGGUGGAAUUACAUUAGGGUUGGAGAGAAAUAUUUAUCGCCUUAGGCCAGCGACAAUUUCUUUUCCUUCGUCAUAUUAAUUACAUCUCCCCCCCACAAUGUUUCUUUCCAAUGAAACAUGGAAUAUUACUGAAAUUACUGAAAUCGAGAAAAAAAAACGGACAUGACAUUGACCAGCUGAUGCUAUCUAUAUGUAUGUACAAUAUAUGAUACCAAACGAAAUGUAGAACGGAGCACGUAAUAAAAUAGUUGAACAAAAAAAGAAAGAAAGGAAAAGGAUUACGACGAAGAUGAAGAAGGAGAAGGAGAAGAAGUAGUAGAAGAAAACUAAGUAAAAUAAAUAAUACAAUUUGUACAUUCCAUGAUAUAAGUUUUGUUUCGAAACGACAAAGAAAAAACACACACACACACAUAACGCGUGCAUUCUACGCAAUCACGCGUUCGAUCGCGUCGUUUUGCAUUUUAUUUAAUUUGUUUAAAUCCUUUCGCGAGGGAGCCCCCCGUUUUUAGCGUGUCGCUGACGGUUGUCCUGUGAAAAUUCAACAAACUUCACUGAGAAUAAAAAAUGGGACACCGUCAACUUGCUGCGGGGUGCGCGUCAGGGUUUGGAGGAAAAAAUUCCGCCAUCGCAUUGCGUACAAAGUCCUCGGGGUUAAUUAAUGAAGGAGAGGGACGAGGGUCUAAUUGACACAACGAUCUUUUAUCGAUAACAAUAACCGAUAAUCGCUCAAGAGCUUAUGUUAUGUUGUAUUGAAAUCGCCGAAAGAUCCGCCGUGUCGAUCGUUUGGGAGCUGACGAUCGAUAUCGGCUAGAUUUAUUAAGCGUUAUUAUGACGUAGCUUGAUUUUAUUAAAAACGAACUCCCUAUCUAUCUCCGGAUGAUAUUUGUUGAAUAUGUAAAUCGCGUGUAAUAAUUUUAAUCAAAUUAUUCUACGGUCUGCUCGAGGGCUGGGCAGUUUGUUAUUCGUGAUUACACCCGCAACAAGGGCGGAAAGAUAUGAUCGAUCGACGCGAUCGAACGUAUACGAGAAUUGAUUAAUUAGCUAUUUUACUGUCCACAGUAUUUCGCAUUAACAAGUCUAGAAGUAGCUGUUUUUUGUGAAUUGAUACAUAUAAAUUAUUACCUUUUCUCAAUUUUUUUUUUUUUUUUUUUUUUUCUGUCCAUAGGGUUUGUUUUUCACCCAUAACUGACAUACAUUCGACGUGAAAUGAUUGCAGGUGUCAAAAUUUUCGGGAAAAAUGAAACUAUGAGUAAACGUGUAAGACCGUUGUUGCUUUUAUUGCCUGAAAAAUAAUCACACAAAUACGCCCUGCGAUAUUGUCUGGCGCAAAACCACCACCCCGACUCCUAAAAUUAGGAUAUAUCGUACCAAACGAAAAUCGAAAACUGUGUAAAUCCACCGAUGAAUCCGUUCGCUCGCUCACUCACCCUUAAAAAAAAAAAAAAAAAAAAAUCAAUAUGUGAAGCAACCUCCUCGCGAAAUCUACGAUUCUUGUCAACUAUCUUUAGGUGUCCCGAAAAUCUGUAUAGAAAUAACGUUAGAACUAAAAAUGUAAUUAUAGAUAUAAUGAAAGCUUGCCUGUUGUUAUAUUCUAUAAUGGCUCACAGGCCGAAUUAGGGGGAUACUUGACUCUGUAUUGUUCACUGCGGGGAAAAGAGAGCAGGGCUGUAUUCGAAUUCGAACGAAAGGAAUAAAAUGACAACAGUUUUGAAGAGGAAGAGUGAGAGUGAGUGAGAGGGUGAGAGAGAACGGGCGCGCGGGGAAUAGUUAAAUUACUGUGUCGUAACGAGCACUGGCAGAGGCAAUUAUAAAGAGGUACAGAGCAUGUAUGCAAUGGAGAUUUUCGAAGUUGCAGAGAAAAUGAAAU